rnacentral:tRNA from 1 species
UAGAAAAUAGUAUAAUAGGAAGCAUGAAGAGUUUUGAUCUCUUAGGUGCAGGUUCAAGUCCUGUUUUUCUA